GCGCCACUGGACGCCUCUGAGCCUACCAAAACGACAGCGGAGGAGGAUCUCGAGCAAGAACUCGAUUCUUGCAAUGUCUGCUCAAUUGGAGGAUUGGCGCUGGCGACAUCGAUUAGCACCCCCGCAUCAGAGAGAGAAUCGGUCACCUACGCUUCUCCUGACGACACUGGUGGCUUCUUCGAUGCGGGCCCGUCGUCCAGCUUUCACAACAGCUCUCCGACCGACUUUCUUAUUAAGCGCGACGAAUAUUAUUCUAACUAUGGAAUCUCGCCUGACUACGAGUUUGGCCCAGUAUGGAAACUUCUUCGGCGGCCAAAAUGUUUAGGGAGGUCCAAUUGCAGAAUCCAUCUCACUUGAUCGGUAGAAAGGUGACCAGAGUGGUCAGAUACCCGAUUCAGUGCCUUGCAAGAUUCGUGCAAAUCGUGGCUGUGCUAUGCAUCCUUGGAACAUUGAAGAGAGGUAAAAAAAUUCUGCAGAUAUAUUAGAGGAAGCAGACAAGCAGUAGAGUAUGUUACGUUUGUUCAAAGACAGAUUCAGAAAAUAGAGGUCAUUUGAGAUAUGAAGACAUUGAAGUUGAUUUUCUUACUUGAACUGCUUGGAAAUAUGAGGAGGUCUUGGUUCCCAACAAGAAAAUGGCCAAUGCAGCUACCAUUGCGAUACAGGGGAUUCCGAAUCCGAGGGCCCAACUGAGAUUGUCCUGAAUGUAGACCAACACCAGAAGUGUUACAACUAUGCCCAUUGAUAAACUGAAG